GUGGCAGAAUGACAGCUGCACGUUUGAGAGCAGCUUGAACUACACAGUGAGUUCUGAAGAAGCCUGGAAUAGUUAUGAGGGGGGAAACGAGACCACGGAAUGCCAGAGUGAAAAGGUAGGAGGAGGAUGUCAAAGUGAUUAUUACCUCAACCUGUAGAGGAGUGCAAGCCAUGAACGUUGGUGGAGAGCUGAGUGAGGCAGAGUACCAGAGAGAAGAGAGCAUGCGGAACUAGCCAGACGACACAGCUGGAAAAUCCAACAGGCAGGCAUUAGUCUACUCUCAACAUCACACUUGGAAGGAGGGAAUCCCUCAGGCCCACACAAGAAUGGCCUGGGAGAGCAGGUCAGACCUGUAAGUCACUCUGAACUUGACCAAGGGGAUCAGAAAAUGGGCCGUUUUCCCAGCCCAGUGGGCUUUCCUACCUCCGAAGCUCUAGAAUAGUGAACCACAGGAGACUCCAGAAUAUACUUUUAAAGUCAAUGAAGAUGCUGGGAUGUUCUUACUCAGCUGAAGAUCUUGUUUCCUCCCCCAGCCUUCCAUGCACCUCCUCCUUGUUGGGACUAGGGAGUGACAUCAGAAUUGCAGCUAGUGAUGUCACUGUCUCUAUAGCAACCAUGUGAGGCUGCCUAAGAUUGAGUACUCAUAAAGGAUAAGAGGAGGGGUGGAAAUAAAUAUACUUUAUGGCUCUGACAUUUACUUAGAAGGACUGGCCUUGCUUUUCCCUAUUUCUUCUGAGUGUUUGAGUGAGGUGGGAGAGUAUGGGAGGGGAAAACUUUCCCAUUGGAUUUCAUUUGAAACAGCAGAGUAUUAUCAACACAUCUGGCCUGGCUUUCAUGCCAAUGGAUUCCAUUCAAACGGCAGAGUAUUACCAACAAACUCAGAUGGCAGCAUAGGACAGGAUCCUGUUUCACACUGGCUCAUCUGGAAAUAGAUGGCCUGAAUUAACUGUGGCGUUUCGUCUCUCUCGCUGCUGCUGCUGACUUUGUCACAGGCAUGAGCCACCACGUCAGGCACAAAAGUAGUCUAACCAAGGAACAAAGUUCCAGUGGAGGUGGGGAAACAGCAUAUCCACCCCCACUCCCCAACCAAAACCAACAAAAACCCCAAACCAAAUACAAAGCCAACAAAAACUGCUACCAUUCAAAAGCAGCUGGGUAUUGGUUUCAAUCCUCC
ensembl:lncRNA